UUUUAUAAGUAAAUUGGAAAUAAAUUAAGGUUAUAUAAAUAUUCAAUAGUAAAUGAGCUCGAUAGAACUUUUUUCAAGUCUUUUUGAAUUUUUUAAGAUUCAUCAUACGUGGCGUUGUUACACCUAAGGAGGAUCCAUUAUAUCUUACAGCUCGAUAUAAGGCAACCCGUCAGGUUUCCAGCCUAUAUACUUUGAAUCUUUAAAAUAUUUAAAAUAAGGUUGGAGAGAAGGUCAGCUAUUGUUGUAAUUUUAAUGGACAAGCAAGCUACAUGGUAAUAAAUAUUCAAUAGUAAAUGAGCUCGAUAAAACUUUUUUCAAGUCUUUUUGAAUUUUUUAAGAUUCAUCAUACGUGACGUUGUUACACCUAGGGGGGAUCCAUUAUAUCUUACAGCUCGAUAUAAGGCAACCCGUUAGGUUUCCAGCCUAUAUACUUUGAAUCUUUAAAAUAUUUAAAAUAAGGUUGGAGAGAAGGUCAACUAUUGUUGUAAUUUUAAUG
rnacentral:lncRNA from 1 species